rnacentral:tRNA from 1 species
CGGGGCGUAGCGCAGUCUGGUAGCGCAUUAGCAUGGGGUGCUAAGGGCCGGAGGUUCGAAUCCUCUCGCCCCGACCA